rnacentral:rRNA from 1 species
UACGGGGGGAGCAAGCGUUGUUCGGAUUUACUGGGCGUAAAGGGCGCGUAGGCGGUCAGCACAAGUCAGUUGUGAAAUCUCCGGGCUUAACCCGGAAAGGUCAACUGAUACUGUGCGACUAGAGUGCGGAAGGGGCAACUGGAAUUCUUGGUGUAGCGGUGAAAUGCGCAGAUAUCAAGAGGAACACCUGCGGCGAAGGCGGGUUGCUGGGCCGACACUGACGCUGAAGCGCGAAAGCCAGGGGAGCGAACGGG